rnacentral:lncRNA from 1 species
AUUUGAAGCAGCAGAGACUCUCCAUGGCUGGGUUUGAAAAAGCAAACCGCUAUGAAUUCUACAGUCACAGCCAGAUGGAUCUGCCAACAACUCCAGGGAGUGUGGAGGCAGACCUUUCCUCAGUCAAGCCUCCAGGUGAGAAUGCAGCAGAGAACCCAAAUCUGCUGUGCCAGACUUCUGACGUACAGGAACUGUGAGAAAAUAAAUGGGUGUCAUUUUAAGCUGCUAAUGUUGUGGCAACUUAUUUUGCAGCAUAGAAAAAGAAUUAUACUGUCAGACAAAGAACUUAAACUAAGGAAAUGGAGAAGACUAGAAUGAGCUUUAUGGUGUUAAAGUGGAAUGGGAGGUAUUGGGGUGAACCUAAUUUUUAAUAUAUGUACAGAUAGAUAUAGAAAUAAUUAUAGAUGUGUAUGUAUGCAUUAGUAUACACACACACACUUCCUUGAGAGGACCUAUGAGAGUAGCAAUGAUAACACCUUGCACCCAGAUCUUGGUUCCUAAACGAUGAGGAUCAAGGCUGCCCCAGGGAGAGAAGCCCAAGGCCUCCUGCCCUACAUAUUGAUCUGUAUCAUCCUCCGGGAAGCAUAGGACGUCCUGACCUGAUCCGACCUGAUUCUUAUCCAAAGUUAUAGGACCACAUGAUAACCAGACCCCACCUGCACUGAUAGCAUUUUAACGAUUUUUUUUCAUGAUCUUUCCUUUGUAUUGUAGAGAAAUAACUCACAUACCUAUGCCUUAUAAAUUUAGCCUUAACCCUCAACCCAUUGCAGCUCUUACUGACAUGGGUCCUGUCCCCAUGCUAUUCUCUGAAUAAAAGAGCACUACUACCAGACCUUGAGAGUCCGAGAAAUCUUUCUUUCGACUCCUCGGCCUGCCGAGUCUGUCGUUUCUUCUGGUGGCCCAUACAGGGAUCUUGCUUCACCGGCUUGUGAGCUGAAGUUCUGGCACCUAUUACUGCCAGGCAUAAUAGGGAAGGUAUACAAGAGAUACAAUGCAGGGGGACGCCCCCAUCACCUCUUGCUAUAGGAACCCCACAGGAGGAACAACAGGUAGGACGCUGCCCUAGGUUCAGGGGGGAUUUUUCAAGGUAAUAGACCCUUUUCUUUCAUCUCUCUUCUUUUGUCUUUUUGCUUCUUAG